rnacentral:lncRNA from 1 species
CAUAAACAGAUAUAAAUGUACUUUAAGUUUAUGAAUUAAUUAUAAACAGAUAUAUACAUAAAGUACGGAUUUCUGGGCAUUCACAUAAUGGAAUGCAUGAUCCAAAAAUCUGAGGAGUCGAUUUCUGUUCUAGGUUGCUGCUUCCCUGCCCCCCAGGUCCAGGCAGAGGGAGGAGUAGAGACCUGUGGACUUUCUCUGGCAACAUCAUUUUGCACCCAGGCCAGGGUGUGUGAUUCUGCUUGACACCCCAUGGCAGGUGGGAAGGCACACUGGCUCGACCCGUCACGGCAGAAUGAGCUUCCUCACAGCCAAUUAUAAAUCCACGCAGAGCUCAGAGAAGGUGUGAGCCUUUCCCAAGGUUCCCCCAGGGCCCCUUUUCCAGUGUGCAAAAUAUGCCUCCCCAGGGACCUUUCUCUCCCCUCCCCUUCUCUCUCUGAAGUUUCCAGCCCCACCCUUUAGUUAAGUCAGCAAGUCUCUUUUGCUGGAUAUUAAAUUCUUUCAGUUAGAGGGCCAUCAAGAGCAGCAACCCACUUUCUUGUCUGCUCAGACUGCCACAUUUUACCACAGUUAAAUGCUACAGACUGGGUGGCUUACCAACAGACGUUUAUUUCUCACACUUGUGGAGGUUGGAUGUUCAAGAUCAAGGUGCCUGCCAAUUCAGUUCCCAGUGAGGACCUUCUCCCUAGCUUUCAAACAAACAGCUUCCCUCUGGUACACACACACACACACAGAUCUUUCUUCUUACAAGACCACCAGUACUAUUGGAUUAGAAGCCCACCUAUAUGACCUCAUUUGACUUCACCUCCUAAAAGCCCUAUCUGCAAACACACUAACAUCCCAAUAUAUAUUCCACUCUUUUAAAUAUAAAUCAGAACGUGAAUAACCCAGGGAAUUGAAUUGAAGAGAGCACCCUAUUCAGCCAUUUUGAAUUGGAAGGAGUGCUAUCUUCAGCCCCUGCACCCUCAUAGCCCCUCAGUCACUGUGUUUGUGAAGAGUGAUGAUGAGCCACUGCUGCCUCAUUAGGGAUUGUGUGUUAUCCCCACAUUUAUGUGCUGAAGUCCUAACCCAGUGCCUUGGAAUGUGACUAUUUGUAGAGAGAAAGGGUCAUUACAGAGGUAGCCAAGUUAAAAUGAGGCCCGAGGGCAGUAUGCAAUAUGACUGGUGUCAGCAGAGGAUGUCCAAGUCCCUGCCUUCCGCUCAGAAGGGCUUGCAGAUGUCCUGGGCAAUGAAAUACCUUGGGUGCUGGGUCAGGGAGGCUGUGCUCUCAGUUCUGGUCUUGACUCUCCAGGAUGAAUGCUUUCCACCAUUCCUGCAUGAUUUCCAGCAGUUGUUUCUCUCUCUCCUUCCUCCAGGCCCAACCUCACUUUCUCCU